rnacentral:rRNA from 1 species
GACGAACGCUGGCGGCGUGCUUAACACAUGCAAGUCGAACGGAAAGGCCCUGCUUUUGUGGGGUGCUCGAGUGGCGAACGGGUGAGUAACACGUGAGUAACCUGCCCUUGACUUUGGGAUAACUUCAGGAAACUGGGGCUAAUACCGGAUAGGAGCUCCUGCUGCAUGGUGGAGGUUGGAAAGUUUCGGCGGUUGGGGAUGGACUCGCGGCUUAUCAGCUUGUUGGUGGGGUAGUGGCUUACCAAGGCUUUGACGGGUAGCCGGCCUGGGAGGGUGACCGGCCACAUUAGGACUGAGAUACGGCCCAGACUCCUACGGGAGGCAGCAGUGGGGAAUAUUGCACAAUGGGCGGAAGCCUGAUGCAGCAACGCCGCGUGCGGGAUGACGGCCUUCGGGUUGUAAACCGCUUUCGCCUGUGACGAGGCGUGAGUGACGGUAAUGGGUAAAGAAGCACCGGCUAACUACGUG